GUGCCAGCAGCCGCGGUAAUACAGAGACCUCAAACGUUGUCCGGAUUUACUGGGCGUAAAGGGUCCGUAGGCGGCCCGAUGCGUCGGUUGUCAAAACUCGGAGCUCAACUCCGAGACCGCAACCGAUACGGUCGGGCUCGAGCAUGGGAGAGGCGAGUGGAAUUGCCGGUGUAGUAGUAAAAUGCGUUAAUAUCGGCAAGAACACCAAAUGCGAAGGCAGCUCGCUAGAACAUUGCUGACGCUCAGGGACGAAAGCGUGGGGAGCGAAAGGGAUUAGAAACCCCAGUAGUCC
rnacentral:rRNA from 1 species